GAUGAACGCUGACAGAAUGCUUAACACAUGCAAGUCAACUUGAACUUCGGUUUGGGUGGCGGACGGGUGAGUAACGCGUAAAGAACUUGCCUCACAGUUAGGGACAACAUUUGGAAACGAAUGCUAAUACCUGAUAUUAUGAUUUUAGGGCAUCCUAGAAUUAUGAAAGCUAUAUGCGCUGUGAGAGAGCUUUGCGUCCCAUUAGCUAGUUGGAGGGGUAACGGCUCACCAAGGCGAUGAUGGGUAGCCGGCCUGAGAGGGUGAACGGCCACAAGGGGACUGAGACACGGCCCUUACUCCUACGGGAGGCAGCAGUGGGGAAUAUUGGACAAUGGACCAAGAGUCUGAUCCAGCAAUUCUGUGUGCACGAUGAAGUUUUUCGGAAUGUAAAGUGCUUUCAGUUGGGAAGAAAAAAAUGACGGUACCAACAGAAGAAGUGACGGCUAAAUACGUG
rnacentral:rRNA from 1 species